rnacentral:rRNA from 1 species
GACGAACGCUGGCGGCGUGCUUGACACAUGCAAGUCGAACGGUGAAGCGCCUUCCUUUUUGGUGGGUGUGGAUGAGUGGCGAACGGGUGAGUAACACGUGAGUAACCUGCCCCCUUCUUCUGGAUAACCGCAUGAAAGUGUGGCUAAUACGGGAUAUUCUGGGUCUGUCGCAUGAUGGGUCUGGGAAAGAUAUUGUUUCGGUGGGGGAUGGGCUCGCGGCCUAUCAGCUUGUUGGUGGGGUGAUGGCCUACCAAGGCGGUGACGGGUAGCCGGCCUGAGAGGGUGGACGGUCACACUGGGACUGAGACACGGCCCAGACUCCUACGGGAGGCAGCAGUGGGGAAUAUUGCACAAUGGGCGCAAGCCUGAUGCAGCGACGCCGCGUGAGGGAUGGAGGCCUUCGGGUUGUGAACCUCUUUCGCCAGUGAAGCAGGCCUGCCUCGUUUGUGGGUGGGUUGACAGUAGCUGGAUAAGAAGCGCCGGCUAACUACGUG